UCCCUGGUGGCCUAGGGGUUAAGGCUCAGCAUUAUCACUGCUGGGGCCUGAGUUCAAUCCCCAGCCAGGGAG